rnacentral:rRNA from 1 species
AUUGAACGCUGGCGGCAUGCCUUACACAUGCAAGUCGAACGGUAACAGGUCUUCGGAUGCUGACGAGUGGCGAACGGGUGAGUAAUACAUCGGAACGUGCCCGAUCGUGGGGGAUAACGAAGCGAAAGCUUUGCUAAUACCGCAUAAGAUCUAAGGAUGAAAGCAGGGGACCGCAAGGCCUUGCGCGAACGGAGCGGCCGAUGGCAGAUUAGGUAGUUGGUGGGAUAAAAGCUUACCAAGCCGACGAUCUGUAGCUGGUCUGAGAGGACGACCAGCCACACUGGGACUGAGACACGGCCCAGACUCCUACGGGAGGCAGCAGUGGGGAAUUUUGGAAAAUGGGCGAAAGCCUGAUCCAGCCAUGCAGCGUGCAGGAUGAAGGCCUUCGGGUUGUAAACUGCUUUUGUACGGAACGAAAAGACUCUUUCUAAUAAAGAGGGUCCAUGACGGUACCGUAAGAAUAAGCACCGGCUAACUACGUGCCAGCCGCCGCCGUAAAAC